rnacentral:rRNA from 1 species
UACGUAGGGUGCGAGCGUUAAUCGGAAUUACUGGGCGUAAAGCGUGCGUAGGCGGUUCGUUAAGUCAGCUGUGAAAGCCCCGGGCUCAACCUGGGAACUGCGGUUGAAACUGGCGAACUAGAAUCUGGCAGAGGGGGGUGGAAUUCCACGUGUAGCAGUGAAAUGCGUAGAGAUGCGGAGGAACACCGAUGGCGAAGGCAGCCCCCUGGGCUGACACUGACGCUCAGGCACGAAAGCGUGGGGAGCAAACAGG